UACUCCUACGGGAGGCAGCAGUGGGGAAUAUUGCACAAUGGGCGAAAGCCUGAUGCAGCGACGCCGCGUGGGGGAUGAAGGCCUUCGGGUUGUAAACUCCUUUCGCCAGGGACGAAGCGUAAUAGUGACGGUACCUGGAGAAGAAGCACCGGCUAACUACGUGCCAGCAGCCGCGGUA
rnacentral:rRNA from 1 species